AUUAGAUAAAAAACCAAUGCCCUUGGGGGCUUUCUGGUGAUUCAUAAUAACUAAACGAAUCGCAUGGCCUUGAGCCGGCGAUGGUUCAUUCAAAUUUCUGCCCUAUCAACUUUCGAUUGUAGGAUAGAGGCCUACAAUGGUUUCAACGGGUAACGGAGAAUUAGGGUUCGGUUCCGGAGAGGGAGCCUGAGAAACGGCUACCACAUCCAAGGAAGGCAGCAGGCGCGCAAAUUACCCAAUCCCGACACGGGGAGGUAGUGACAAUAAAUACUGAUACAGGGCUCUUUUGGGUCUUGUAAUUGGAAUGAGUACAAUUUAAAUCCCUUAACGAGGAACAAUUGGAGGGCAAGUCUGGUGCCAGCAGCCGCGGUAAUUCCAGCUCCAAUAGCGUAUAUUAAAGUUGUUGCAGUUAAAAAGCUCGUAGUUGAACCUUGGGUUUGGCUGGCCGGUCCGCCUUACCGCGUGCACUGGUCCGGCCGGACCUUUCCUCUUGGGGAUCCGCAUGCCCUUUACUGGG
rnacentral:rRNA from 1 species